UCCAAAUCAUCAUUAUGCUAGUGGUUAUUUUGCAGAUAAACUGGGUAACCCCCAUCCCCUUAAUAAAAACUGGAUAAAGAGAGAUCCAUCAAUGAGGUCCGGCCCCCUUCAAGGAGUCAUGAUUCCCAACACUCCAUUGCACCUGAAGGCCACCUAAUUGAAAGCAGAUGAGUGGGCAGGUGUGUGGUGUGAGGUGUUUAAGGCCUCCCCUCCUGCAGCCUUCAGCUCACUCAGGUUUUCUACUGAAGAUGUGUGGAAGGCUCACCGGACUGCUUUGGCCUCGACUGGCUUCUCUCCCGAGGGCACGAGUCAUGAUUCAACAAAAAGCAACUUACAUCCACAGCAAACCGCCUAAAAACAAAGUCGGUGCACUGGAGUCUAUGUUCGUGCUGACUGUGAUGAUGCUGACAGUGAUGGUGCCCUCUGGAUGGGUACUGGCGAACCUGGAGGACUACAAAACCCGGAAGUGAGGAAUGCGGCCUUGAAAGCAUCGUCUUUACCCGUGAAAGCCACGUGAUUGCUGUUCUGUGUCAUUUGAACCUUUUGUGUGAGUCGCAGGGACGUGAUGUUAAUACAAUAAACUCAAGUUUCUCAAUUUAA